rnacentral:rRNA from 1 species
GAUGAACGCUGGCGGCGUGCCUAAUACAUGCAAGUCGAGCGAACAGACGAGGAGCUUGCUCCUCUGAUGUUAGCGGCGGACGGGUGAGUAACACGUGGAUAACCUACCUAUAAGACUGGGAUAACUUCGGGAAACCGGAGCUAAUACCGGAUACGAUGUUGAACCGCAUGGUUCAACAGUGAAAGACGGUCUUUCUGUCACUUAUAGCUGGCUCCGCGCCGCAUUAGCUAGUUGGUAAGGUAACGGCUUACCAAGGCAACGAUGCGUAGCCGACCUGAGAGGGGGAUCGCCCACACGGGAACGGAGACACGGUCCAGACUCCUAAGGGAGGCAGCAGUAGGGAAUCUUCCGCAAUGGGCGAAAGCCUGACGGAGCAACGCCGCGUGAGUGAAGAAGGUCUUCGGAUCGUAAAACUCUGUUAUUAGGGAAGAACAAAUGUGUAAGUAAAUAUGCACGUCUUGACGGUACCUAAUCAGAAAGCCACGGCUAACUACGUG